rnacentral:rRNA from 1 species
AUCGAACGCUGGCGGCAUGCCUUACACAUGCAAGUCGAACGGCAGCACGGGUGCUUGCACCUGGUGGCGAGUGGCGAACGGGUGAGUAAUACAUCGGAACAUGUCCUGUAGUGGGGGGUAGCCCGCCGAAAGCCGGAUUAAUACCCCAUACGAUCCACGUACUAAAGCGGGGGACCUUCGGGCCUCGCGCUAUAGGGUUGGCCGAUGGCUGAUUAGCUAGUUGGUGGGGUAAAGGCCUACCAAGGCGACGAUCAGUAGCUGGUCUGAGAGGACGACCAGCCACACUGGGACUGAGACACGGCCCAGACUCCUACGGGAGGCAGCAGUGGGGAAUUUUGGACAAUGGGCGAAAGCCUGACCCAGCAAUGCCGCGUGUGUGAAGAAGGCCUUCGGGUUGUAAAGCACUUUUGUCCGGAAAGAAAUCCUUGGCCCUAAUACGGUCGGGGGAUGACGGUACCGGAAGAAUAAGCACCGGCUAACUACGUG